rnacentral:rRNA from 1 species
UACGGAGGGUGCGAGCGUUGUCCGGAAUCACUGGGCGUAAAGGGCGCGUAGGCGGCGCGGGGAGUCAACGGUGAAAGCUCGGCGCUCAACGCCGAGUCGGCCGUCGAUACUCCCGUGCUCGAGCACUGUAGAGGCAGGUGGAAUUCCGGGUGUAGCGGUGGAAUGCGUAGAGAUCCGGAAGAACACCGGUGGCGAAGGCGGCCUGCUGGGCAGUAGCUGACGCUGAGGCGCGAAAGCGUGGGGAGCGAACAGG